GUUCAUUCCUGAACAUAUACUACAAUUGGAACAAUACAGAGAAGAUUAUCAUGGCCCUUGCGCAAGGAUGACAACCUGAGCAUAAGUCCCGAGAUGGUGCU
rnacentral:snRNA from 1 species